rnacentral:rRNA from 1 species
UACGGGGGGAGCAAGCGUUGUUCGGAUUUACUGGGCGUAAAGGGCGCGUAGGCGGCCCGCUAAGUCGAACGUGAAAUCCCCGAGCUCAACUCGGGAACUGCGUCCGAUACUGGUCGGCUUGAGUUUGGGAGAGGGAUGCGGAAUUCCAGGUGUAGCGGUGAAAUGCGUAGAUAUCUGGAGGAACACCGGUGGCGAAGGCGGGUCUCUGGGCCGAUACUGACGCUGAGGAGCGAAGGCCAGGGGAGCGAACGGG